rnacentral:lncRNA from 1 species
UUUUCACAGCUUAUGUUUUGAAGUGCUUUAUCCAAAAGAACAUGGAACAAACAAAACACAGACAAAGUUGCUCUGGCAUAUAUCUCAGUUCGAAAGAUCAUUAAUUUGAAAAUAAUACAGCAGAAACCAGUAUGCCAAUAUGUCUUAACAAGUGAAUAUCAGAAAGCAAAGAAAUUAACAUAGCUAAUGACUAAGAAAAAAACAAAGGGUUGUUUGUAAAUAAUAAUUAAUAAAUAUUAAUAUCAUAAUGGUAAAUAGUAUACAUUAAAAUGUUAAUAGUAAAAAAAAUGACAAGAAUAAAAUAUUACUAAUAUUGCUGAUUUUCUGGAAUACUAAAUGGCAUUCGUCUCCUAAGCAUUUUUUUUUUUUGCAAGAAUUAGCAAUACUGAAUACCUCAAGGAUAAGAGAACACAACAAAAGUCAAACCACAGAAAGCAGUACUCUUGAUGUUUAAGAUCAUCUCAUCAGAACAGGCAUGAUUAGUCUCAGCAAAAUCCAAACACGAAGUCAAUCUGAUAGAAGGAAUAUCAAAUUAGAGAGGAGGGUGGAGACUCAACAGAGCAAUUACCAAUGGUUAGGAAGAGGGUGGUGUCUGCAAAUGGAGGGGCUAAGAGGUGACUAAGGCUCAUCUCCCCCACAAAAAUAACAAAAAUGAUAAACAACUAAUUACAAAAUGACAAAAACAGGGAAAACUAUGUUUCCCUAAAACAGGGAGAACUCUGGAGGACUAAGGAGCAGCAAAAACCCUGCAGAGCUAAAAAAAAAAAAAAAAAACAUGGGAAGGGCAGCCCCGGUGGCGCAGCGGUUUAGCGCCGCCUGCAGCCCAGGGUGUGAUCCUGGAGACCCUGGAUAGAGUCCCACAUCAGGCUCUCUGUAUGAUGCCUGCUUCUCCCUCUGCCUGUGUCUCUGCCUCUCUCUCUCUCUCUCUCUCUCUCUCUCUCUCUCUCUCUCUCUCUCUCUGUCUCUAUGAAUAAAUAAAUAAAAUCUUAAAAACAAAACAAAACAAAACAAAACAUGGGAAGCCAUCUGGAAAAGCACCGGAAGCAUUUUAGCUGUGUCACCUCCUCUUGGUACAGAGCAGCUGGGCACCAUGAGGGGUUCUCACAGAGAUUCACCUCAUGAGAAUGAGGAGAGGGAAACCCCAGCAAGCUUCACUGCUGUGGACGUUUUGCAGCCUUUGCUGCUGAAGACCUCACAGUCUUCACCAACACCAAUUCUAGCUGCUGUAUCUCCUCCUCCCCCAGAGGCCUGUUGUGGCUAUGCCCUACUCUCAGAGCUCUGGAUGCCACAGCACCUUGCCAUGUACAGGACCAGAGCUGCUAGUGCUCUGUGCUCUACCCACUGUGUUGCAACUUUGUCUCUGGGACACCUGUUGCUGCUCUGUGCCCUGCUCUCAAAAUCCCAGGUCACGCUUUCCCUGCCAGCACCGGGGUCAGGCUGCACUACUCAGAGAUGGGCCCCCACAGGUCCCAGAUCACGGCUCUGAAAUCACCAUAAUGGCUAAGCUUCCACUCUUCUGCAACCUUCCCCCUGGGUCCCAAGAUGUGGCUUUAGUGGGCCUCCACUAGGGAUGUGCUGCUGUGGCUGCUCUUCCAAGACUGCCUCCUGGGCCCAGAGUUAGAACUCAGACCCACCAUCCCUAUGCCAUGUUGCUACUGCACUCUACUCCCUUGGGCCCAAGCCACUCACUCCCGCACCCUGUCAUUAAGGGCCUGUGCUGCUGUGUCUCCCUCCCCACCACUCCACCUGAGUCACUGAAAGGAGCCCAACUAGCACCCUGGUUUCACAGAAGAUCAGCACAUACCUGCACCUCAGACACCAGUGCUACUGCCAAGUGCACCCCUGCCCACAGACCCAGUUGCUGUGGUGGUUCCAUAUCCAUGAUCCCAAGACUCCACUCUACUCCUGCUCAGAGUGCCAGGAUGGCAGACCAAGUGCCAGGAGGUAUCCCCUCAGCUAGAAGGGACAGCUUCUCCCAUGGGCAAAAUGGGGGAACUGAAGGACUCCAGGAGCCUUUUCCUCUAAGGAUCCCAAUAGCCCUCACCACCACUGCCACCCACAGGACCUCUGCAGUCUUGGCCACAGAAGACCCCUUCAGGUCUGUACCAACACUGACCUUGGCUAAUAGGGCUGCACAGAGAGUAAGCCGCUGUGUUUUCCCAGGAACCAAAGAUACUGCACCCCAGCCAGCCAGGGCUCUCACAGCCAGCUUCAGGUGAAAGUUUCCCACCAAAGCCAAAGCCAGGCCAAAAAAAAAGCUGGAAGAGGUCACUGCUCCCGCAAAAUGUACAGACAUCAAUGCAAAGCCAUCAGAAACAAGAAAAAGCAUGGAAAGAAGAUACCACCAAAGGAACACAAUAAUUUUCCUGUAACUGAGCACCCAAAAUUAUAGAUCUGAGUUACCUGAAAAAGAAUUCAAAAUAAUCAUUUUAAGGAAGCUCAGCAAGAUUCAAGAGAACAUAAAUAGGUAACUCAAUGAACUCAGGAAAGCAACACAUGAACAAAAGUUUGAAAGAGAUGGGAAUCAUAAAAAAGAACCAAACAGAAACUCUGGAGCUGAAGAAUACAGUAGUCACUUGUUUUGCUUUCCACGGUUUCAAUUAUCUGUGGUGAACUGUAGUCCAAAAAUAGGGAACAGAAAAUUCCAGAAACAAGUAAUUCCUAAGUUUUACAUCGUGCCCUGAAUGGCAUGAUGAAAUCUCAAGCUGUCCUGCUCCACCCUAUUGAAGGCAUGAAUCAUCCCACUGUCCAGCAUAUUCACAUGGCACAAACUACCCGCCCACUAGUCACCGAGUAGCCACCUCCUUUAUCAGAUGGGCUGUUGUGGUUUUGAGGUGCUUGUGUCUAAGUAACCCUUAUUUUAUGAAAUAACAGCCCCUAAGGGCAGGACUGGCAAAUCAGAGAAGCUAAAGAAAAGCCUUAAGAUGCUUCUCGGUGAAAAGUAAAGUUUUCGACUUAACAAGAAAAAAAAAUCGUAGGCUGAGGCUGCUAAGAUCUCCAGUAAGAAUUAAUCUUCCACCCAUAAAUUUGUGAAGAAGGAAAAAGAAAUCUGUGCUAGUUUUGCUGUUGCACCUCAAACUGCAGAAGUUACAGGCACAGUGUAUGAUAAGUGCUUAGUUAAGAUGGAAAAGGCAUCAAAUUUAUGGGUGGAGGACAUGAACACAAAAUGUUUUGACUGAUGGCAGCAUGUUGUGCCAGCAUGUUGUGCUUUAUUUACUGAGCCUGUAAAGGCUUCAGGAGACCUGGAGGAUGAGGAGCCUCUGGCUCUGAGGAUCCCAAUGGCCCUUGCCACCACUGCCACACCCAGGACCUCUGCAGAGACAGUGGGAGCUUGGCCCCUCCAAUGAUGGGGGAUCUCCUAAAACAAGUGAUGCCAAGCCAUUUACCACAAGUAACAGAUGGUUAUUACAUAGAUUCAAGAAUAAGUUUGGACUAAAAAACAUAAAAACUACUGGAAAGACUAUGACUAACAAUGAAGAAGGUGUUGCUACAUGUUUGGUAGAGUUGAAAAAGUUGAUUAAAGAGAAAGGAUACUUGGGGCACAUGGAUGGCUCAAUAAAGCUCCGACUCCUGAUUUUGGCUUAGGUCAUGAUCUUAGAGUCAUGAGAUUGAGCCCAGCAUCGGGCUCCAUGCUGGGUGUAGAGCCUGCUUAAGAUUCUUGCUCUUACUCUCCCUCUGCCCCUACCCUCCCCACCAAAAAAGAGAAAGGAUACCACCAUCCAAAGCAAGUCUUCAACUGCAAUGAAAUCAGGCUCUUCUGGAAGAAGAUGCCCAAUAGAACAUACCUUCAUAAAAGUGCAAGAGGGGUACCAGGGCAGAAAACAUAAGACAAGUUAACUCCUACUAUGUGUUAACAUUUGUGCAAGGCAUAGGAUAAUCCCACGCAGAGCGUACAAAGCAAAGAACCCGUGCGCUCUCAAAAACGAAAACAAAAAUUAUCUGCCCAUGUUCUGGCAACAUAAUCAGAAAGCAUGGUGACAGCUAUCUUUUCUCUGGAAUGGUUCCACCAGUGCUUCAUCCUGAAAGAGAAAAAAUACUUGGAAGAGCAAGGGUUGGAAUUUAAAGUCCUAUUAAUAACAGUGCCAGUACCUGGCCAUCUUGAAUGUUUGCUAUGAAAAUGAAAAUGUUGAAGUUACAUUUUAACCUCCAAAUACCUCACUGCUUCAGCCCCAUGGCCAGGGCAUCAUUUGCUUUAUGAAAGCCACAUACAGGGAUCCCUGGGUGGCGCAGCGGUUUAGCGCCUGCCUUUGGCCCAGGGCGUGAUCCUGUAGACCCGGGAUCGAAUCCCACGUCGGGCUCCCGGUGCAUGGAGCCUGCUUCUCCCUCUGCCUGUGUCUCUGCCUCUCUCUCUCUCUCUGUGACUAUCAUAAAUAAAUAAAAAUUAAAAAAAAAAAAAAAAAAAAAA